AUGUUAAUCCCACUUUUUUUUUCCUCUCAAAGAAGAAUUUUGUCAUAGUUACCUUGCUGAAAAUUGAGUGUUGUUUUUCUUUUUUUCUUUUCUUUCUUUCUUUCUUUUUUUUUUUUUUUGAGGCAGGGUCUCCCUCUGUCACCCAGGCUUCAGUGCAGUGGUGUGAUCUUGGCUCACUGCAACCUCUGCCUCCCGGGUUCAAGCUAUUCUCGAGCCCCAGCCCCCUGAGCAGCUGGGCUUACAGGUGUCCGUCAUGACACCCGGCUGAUUUUUGUAUUUUUAGUAGAGACGGGAUUUUGCCAUGUUGGUCAGGCUGGUCUAAACUGUUGUGUCCCUUAAUACAGUGCUAAACUCAAUUCCUAACCACUUGUCAGAACCAAGGCAACCCCUUUCUCUUCCCUAAGUGACUUGUUUAGGCAGCCCUUUGCAUCUCGGAGAGCUGUGGAGAUGGCGCUGGCGGUCCUUGGAGUGGACUCCACAUGUUGGCUUCAGAGCUAUGUUGGGUGCUCUAAGCUGCGGUCCCCCAGCCCAAAAUACAGACUUAAAAAUAUGUGAAAUUGACUUCUUUAGACAUGACAUGCAUGCUUUUAUUUGCCGCACUCUCACUGUGUCAUACUGUCUUUUUACACUCUGAUACAUCACUGAGUGAGUGGCCUGAUUGAUCCACAAAGACAUUCUCCUUUGCAUCCUCUGGGACAAGAACUGGUCUCCCCUUGGGAAGGGUGUGGUGGAGACUUCCACCUUGAGUCCAGCAACCUUGGAGCUACAGUGCCCUCCCUGUCCAGGAAGCCUCCUCCUUCUUUGGGUGGCUGCAGCCUGCUGAGCCCUAAGUGGCCGGAAGAGAAGUGUAAGGGGAGGGCCCCAGAAGCUUCUCUCCAGCCUGACUCCUGCAGUCUCCUCUCCUGGGAGGUGUAAACGAAAUGUA
rnacentral:lncRNA from 1 species